ensembl:misc_RNA 7SK 7SK RNA
GGAUAUAAGGGUGGUUGGGCUGUGACAUCUGUCACCCCAUUGAAUGCCAAGGUUGAUUUGGCUAAUCUGGCUAGGGUGUCCCCUUCCUCUCCACUUCUCCACCUGUGUUGCUCCAGAAACUGUGUGCUUGGUUGAAGAGGAUGGACAGACCUUCCUGAGAUAGAGCCAGACAGGUCUUUGAGCUUAUAGAAGGAGCUGCACUCCCCUGCUAGAAUCUUCAAAGAAGCUCAAGGUCUAUUUAAAGGCAGGGAGGUGCUUCAGGGUCCU